UCCGGGUUGGUCCCGGCGGUCCGAGUAGACGUGGUAACUACUCGCGGGGGUUGCGCUCGUUGCGGGACUUAACCCAACACCUCACGGCACGAGCUGACGACAGCCGUGCAGCACCUGUGCACGCUCCCUUGCGGGUCCCUCGCCUUUCGACUCGGUACCACGUGCAUGUCAAGCCCGGGUAAGGUUCUUCGCGUUGCAUCGAAUUAAACCACACGCUCCGCUGCUUGUGCGGGCCCCCGUCAAUUCCUUUGAGUUUUAGCCUUGCGGCCGUAGUCCCCAGGCGGGGCACUUAUUGCGUUAGCGGCGGCACCGGGGGGGUCGAUACCCCCGACACCUAGUGCCCAUCGUUUACGGCGUGGACUAC
rnacentral:misc_RNA from 1 species